rnacentral:rRNA from 1 species
UAGGGAAUCUUCCGCAAUGGGCGAAAGCCUGACGGAGCAACGCCGCGUGAGUGAUGAAGGUCUUCGGAUCGUAAAACUCUGUUAUUAGGGAAGAACAUAUGUGUAAGUAACUGUGCACAUCUUGACGGUGCCUAAUCAGAAAGCCACGGCUAACUACGUGCCAGCAGCCGCGGUAAUACGUAGGUGGCAAGCGUUAUCCGGAAUUAUUGGGCGUAAAGCGCGCGUAGGCGGUUUUUUAAGUCUGAUGUGAAAGCCCACGGCUCAACCGUGGAGGGUCAUUGGAAACUGGAAAACUUGAGUGCAGAAGAGGAAAGUGGAAUUCCAUGUGUAGCGGUGAAAUGCGCAGAGAUAUGGAGGAACACCAGUGGCGAAGGCGACUUUCUGGUCUGUAACUGACGCUGAUGUGCGAAAGCGUGGGGAUCAAACAGGAUUAGAUACCCUGGUAGUCCACGCCGUAAACGAUGAGUGCUAAGUGUUAGGGGGUUUCCGCCCCUUAGUGCUGCAGCUAACGCAUUAAGCACUCCGCCUGGGGAGUACGACCGCAAGGUUG